AUCGAGUUUUUGAACGCAAGUUGCGCCCGAAGCCAUUAGGCCGAGGGCACAUCUGCCUGGGCGUCACGCAUCGUCGCCACCCCCAUCGCACGCACGCGUGCCUUGAGCGGGUGACGGAAAUUGGCCUCCCGUGCCCUGCGCGGUUGGCCUAAAACCGAAUCCUCUGCUCGGGAGAGUCACGACAAGUGGUGGUUGAAACCCUCAACUCGAUCGAAGUCGCGGGCCGGAACGAGCAAGGGAGACCAAAGACCCCGGAGCCUACGGGCCCCUCGACCAUGACCCCAGGUCAGGUGG
rnacentral:rRNA from 1 species